rnacentral:misc_RNA from 1 species
CAAACCCUCAGCGCAAGCUGGUUUUGAGUUGUGAGGAAAAAUGCCCCUUGGGGCACGCACCUCUCGCUUUAAAGUUGUACGCUCUGCUGACCUUUAGCUCGGACUAAAAACAUAGUAAAUUCUUGCUUGUUUGACAGAACGGUUGAAGGAUCGGCCUGAACAAUACCUUCUACUUCUAAG